GGGAUCCCUCGCGGGUGCACC
rnacentral:siRNA from 1 species